rnacentral:rRNA from 1 species
AACGUAGGAGACAAACGUUAUCCGGAGUUACUGGGCGUAAAGGGCGUGUAGGUGGUUACGUAAGUCUGGCGUGAAAUUUCUCGGCUUAACCGAGGCAGGUCGUCGGAUACUGCGGGACUAGAGGACGGUAGAGGCGUGUGGAAUUCCGGGUGUAGUGGUGAAAUGCGUAGAUAUCUGGAGGAACACCGGUGGCGAAGGCGGCAUCCUGGACCAAUAUUGACGCUGAGGAGCGAAAGCCAGGGGAGCAAACGGG